rnacentral:sRNA from 12 species
ACUUCUCCAGCGUAGCAAUUAUCACUUAGUUGUUACAUAUACCGUGCCUGUCGCUAACGCGAGGUAGAGCAAAGUGAACACUGUGGUGGUGUACUCGGUAAAGCAGGACCUGGGCGAGUUUUAAAAAACACUUUGUA